rnacentral:lncRNA from 1 species
UCUGCAUGGCAUAUGGAGGUUCCCAGGCUAGGGGUCAAAUCAGAGAUGUUGCUGCCAACCUACACCACAGCCACAGCAACGCUAGAUCCAAGCCACGUCUGCAACCUACACCAUAGCUCAUGGCAAUGCCCAAUCCUUUAAAAGAUUGUUUGUUUACAUUCUCUUUCUGAUGUUUCAUUGUUAGUGUAAGGAAAUGCAACGAUUUAAUCUAUCCUGCUAUCUUGCUAAAUUUAUUGAUCAGUUCCAGUAGCUUUUGUGAAAUGAUACACAUUUUAAAAUAUAACCUCAUUCUAAAUUCUGAAAUACAUGAAAGAAUGGAAUUUUCCAUGAUAGUUAUAUUUUUCUAAUACAUUUAAAUAAACACAAACUAUUAAAUUUUAAAAUAUUUGUACAUAAACCCUUAAAAUAAUCUCAUACCACACUUUAUUCCAACUUGCCAAGAGGCUCAGUUGCAAACUAAUCUAAAAAAGUGCAUUUUCUGGACAAUUUAUUAGAUUCCAAAGUUGAUCCUUUGCCUGGCUUGAAAAAAAUCGCAAAUUUGAAUCCUGUCAGCAUCCCCCAGUUACUCAAAAGCUAUGAAGCUUAAUCAAGCUGACAAAACUUAUGACAACUAUAGAAAACCAGAAUGCCAAUUUGCAAAAAUGCAGGGAAAACUACAGCUGCCAGUCUGCCUGGGAGCUCACAUCAGUAUGACCAGAAUAUUUUCUCCCUGUAGACCAGCUACCCCUGGAGCCAUUAACAACCUGAAGUUUUCUUUUUCUUUCUUUUCUUUUCUUAUCUUUCAUUCUUUUCUUAUCUUUCUCUCUUUUCUUUUCUUUUUUUUUUCUUUUUUUGGCUUUUUAGGGCCGUACUUGUGGCAUACGGAAGUUCCCAGGCUAAGGGUCAAAUUGGAGCUGCAGCUGCCAGCUUAUGCCACAGCCAUGUCAAUGCAGGAUCCACAUCUGUGACCUAUACUACAGCUCUCAGCAAUGCCAGAUCCUUAACCCACUGAUUGAGGCCAAGGAUUUAACCCACUGACAAGUUUUCCUAGCAAGGGGGCUUAGAAAUGAUAGUCAGGCCUCAUUGGCCUACAAGCAAACACUCUUGUCUCUCCGGAUUGGCUAGAAAAUCACUUCUUCAGCACAUAUAUGCCCUCAGCUGCCAAAUAUUUCCGAGUAGGGGGUAGGAAGAUGGAAUAAAUUAUUAUUGAUUCCAUCUACUUUUGGAGGAGAAACUGACACUCAAAGAAUAUCAUUAAUGAUACCCUAAUAAUAAUGGAGCCAUAGUUCUUCACAGAUCUAAUUAUAAAAUGUAUGGUUUUUCCAUCAUAUGUCUUCAAUUACUAGCUAGGUCAACUUCUCCAAUCUGUUUCAGUUCUCUGGAAUUCAGUUUCCAAAGCUGUAGAAAGAUGUCAAUUAUUUUUUUUUAAUUACUUGCAGCAUCACUUCUUUAGCAGAUAUAAAAACAGUCCUUGAGAAGCUCCAGCUCCAGAAUGGAGGCAUAAGACUAUUGUAGCCCAUCUCUUCUGAUUACAAUUAAAAGUUCUGGAGAAAACACAAAAACACCACCCAAGAAAGCUGAAAAAUCAGCAAAAGCAGAUGGACUUAGGACCCUAUCAAAACAUAGUGAAGUGAUUACAUAGGGAAUUUCCCUGUUUUCUUUUUUCUUUUAACAGCUUCACCCUAAGAGUGAGUUCUCAGCACAGAGUAGUGAGAUGGUGGCAGCAACACAGGUAGGUAAUACUUGAGUAAAAGCCCUGUAUUUCAAGCCAAGGAAACUAGGAAAGGAGACCUGAUGGCUACAGAAUGAGUGGAGGAAUCCAGAGUGAAGAAAGCUAAAGGGGAAUCUUCUCAUGCUAAGUAUGAACUGGCUCAGGUCCUCAGGCUCACUCUUGAGCCACACAGUACAGGUUGAACACAGACCAGCACAUCAGAGCUUGGAAAUCUGAACUGGAAUUUGAACUGCCUCCCAGAGAAUGCAAGACAAAACUUUCAAUUGAAUCCAGGUUGAUUGUUAAAAGCAUCAACAUUCCCCAUAAAUUUAUAAUUACCUACACCACAGCUAGCAGCAAUGCCAGAUCCUUUAAAAUGAAAACAUAACACAAAAUUUGUGAAAUAUUGCUAAAAACAGGAAAAUUUACUACAUUUAAAAUUUAUUAUUGAAUUAAUAAUUUAAAUUUCUACCUUAUCAAACUAGUAGCAGAGCAAAUUAAAUCCAAAUCAAACAGAAAAAAGAAAUAGUGCAUAUAAGAGUAGAGAAUAGGAAAAUUGAAAACUGAAAAAACAAUAGAAAAAGUCAAAGCUGGGUCUUUGAAAACAUCAAGAAAUUUGGAGUUACUCUAUACAGAUUAAACAAUAAACAAAGAGAAAGAAUAUAAGAGGGUACAUCACUACUUACCCUACAAACAUUAACAGGAUAAUAAUAGGAUAUUAUGAAAGAUUUUGUACUCAUCAAUUUGAAACUUAUGUGAAAUAGUUAACCUAAAUAGCCCUAAAUAUAUUUUAAUUGUAUUCAUAAUUAAAAUCAUUCUGCAAUAAAAACUCCAGUCCCUUUUGAAAAUUUUACCAUACAUGGGAAAAAAUAUCAGUUCAAUACUAGCUCUUCCAAAAGUAGAAGUACAUGUUUUCCAACUUAUUUUAUGAUCAUCUUGAUACCAAAUCCAGACAAAGUAAUCCCCCCAAAAAAUAUAAAAAAAAAAACCUACAAAUGUUCUCAAAUGAAAUCCAACUGCAUAUACAAAAGAUAAUAUAUCAUGACCACGUGAUGAAUGCAAGGCUUGCUUAACAUUUUAAAAACAAUUAGGACGGCUAAAAUCUUUUAAAUAAAUAAAUACAUUACUGACAAUGCGAACCAGAACUUGUGUAGGUUGAUUCAAAAGAGACUAAAGGAAUUCAAAGGAAUUUGAAGGACAGGUCGGUAUUCUAUAUCAUGAUUGUGGCUGUUGCUACAUGAAUGUCUGUUUCGUGUGUACAUUUUAGCUCAACUUUUAAAAACUGAGAUUAAAAAUAAAAAUACUGACUGAGUCAGAAUGGAUGAACCCAUACUUGAAGUUGAGGGGCCACGGAAACAUAGAAAAAGGACUAUAUAGGAAUAAAUACUGGAAUUUAAGUAUUUCUCGUUACAGGAGUUUUAGUAUUAAGUGAAUUUUGAGUAUUCUUACUUCUGGUAUGAGAUGUAGUAUGUGAUGACAUUGUCAGUUUCAUGAUGUUUUCUUUCUUGCUAUGACUAGAUUUUCUAGGCAAGACAAACAGAAGAAGAAGGACAAGUAGAGGGACAUGAAGAAAGAAGGAGGAGAGUAAAGAAAAAGGAAUGGAGAGUAUAUUAUGCAUAACUUUAUACCAACAAAUCUGAGGGCUUGGAUGAAAUGAACACACUUCUUGAAAAGUGUGUUCAUUAUAACUUACCACAAAUGACUAGAGGAAAGGAAAAAGGGAAGAUUCUGUAUCCAUUAAAGAAAUUGAAUUGAAACCACUUCUCCCCAUCACACACACAAACACACAGAAAUGAAAAUUUAAAAAUUCAGAUGGAGUUCCCAUCAUGGCUCAGCAGAAACGAAUCUGACAAGUAUCCAUGAGGACACAGGUUCAAUCCCUGGCCUUGCUCAGUGGGUUAAGGAACCAACCUUGCAGUGAGCCGUGGUGCAGGUCAUAUAUGCAGCUCAGAUCUGGCAUUGCUGUGGCUGUGGUGUAGGCCAGCAGCUACAGUUCUGAUUUGACCCCUAGCCUGUGAACCUCUCUAUGCCACAAGUGCAGCCCUAAAAAGUCCCAAAAGAAAAAAAAUUCUGAUGGUUUCCUAUAGCUUAACCUGCGACUAUGUUAGGUCAUCUGGCACUAAGGGCUUUACAGACGUGCUCAAGGUUAACGACAGUGAGGUAGAGAACAUAUACAAAACAAAAAAAUCCAGGUGGGCCAGAUCUAAUCACAAAAGUCCUUAAAAUCAGAGACUCUUUCCUGGCCAUCGUCAAAAAGAAGUCUGAGCUCAGUGUUGUGGCUCAGUGGGUUAAAGAUCUGACAUUGUCUCUGUAAGAAUGUAGGUUCAAUCCCUCAUCCCUGGCCUCGCUCUGUGGGUUAAAGAUUCAGUGUUGCCACUGCGUAGGUCACAGCUGCAGCUCUGCUUCCACCCCUGGCUGGGGAAUUUCCAUAUCCCACAAGUGCGACCAAGAAGAAAAAAGAAAAUAGAGAGAGAGAGAGAUGUGAUUACAAAAGAAGAAUCAGACAGACUUUACUAGCUUUGAAGAUCGAGGAUGGGCAACAGGAGACAGGGAAGGCAGGCAGCACCUGGAAGCUGGAAGACAAACACACAGAUUCUCCCCUAGAGCUUCUAGAAGGAAUACAUCCUGCUGAAACUUUGAUUUUACCCGAGGGAGACCUAUGUCAGACCUCUGAAAGGCAAAAUGUGAUAAGAUAAUAAAUCUGUCUUAAACCACUAAGUUUGUGAGAAUCCGUUACAUCUGCAAUAGAAAGCUAGCACAUACCCUAAUUUUGUUAAAUAGCAUAUGUAUAGUUUAUAUUAAAAAGAGAAAAUGGAUAUCAUUGGCCAAAUGUUCACUGUGGUUCUCUCAGAAAUUAUGGAAAUUUUUAGUGUUAUUCAUCCUAUACUUUAAAGUUUUUCUCAAUAUUUACAAAUGGAACACAGUGUUUUACAACCAGAGAGAGCAUUCAAUUACAUUUCAAAAAAAGCAACCACCUCUAUUUCAGUGAUAGUAAUUGUGAAAUAUUAUUCCUAAGCAAAUAAGCCACAUCUUUCAAAUUAUUCACAUCCUCUUUCAACAGGUAUUUACUAAGGCCUCUUAAAAUGAUCUAAAUUAAAAAGCAUAUGCUUUGUUCUCUGAUUACAAAGGAAGAAGAAAAGUUAAAUUUCUGAAUCACAUGGUCUGCCCUCUGCGUCACUUUCCAGAACUGAGACAUGAGACCCAUUUCCAGAGCAGCAGCUGCUCAGAGCCCCCUCCUCGGUGGGGUUGAGCACCCAAAAGCUGAGCCGUCCAUGGUCUCCGGAAACCUCUCCUCAGAUCCUCAAGUCCCUUCUCCAGGUUGCUGCCUGGUUUAAACAUAAAUGCUUGUUCCACAGAGACAGUGCAAUCCUGAACAGAUUCUCCAGAUAAUAAAAAGGAGGAUAUUUUAUUCGUCCGUUUCCUUCCCUAAUGUGCUUGCACAUAUAUCUUAUGUGAUAAGAGUCCAGAAACUUUGGACGGCAGCAACAUAUGACAGAGCACUUUGUGCAGGAAAUAAGAGCUCAUUACCUCAUCCUCCCUACUGUGUCUGUUUGCUUUUUCUGCAGCAAGAAAAUGUACCAAAGAAAUCAAACAGCAGGGCCUGACCCUAGGAGCUUCAGAAGUAGUCAGGGGGUGGGGAUGGGGGAGUAGUCGAUACCCACGAAAUAUGAAAUAUGAAGCAGGAACAGCACGAGGCAUGUGUGUAUGUUAACAUUUCCCUAUGGCUAAGGGGAUUUUACUCUGAGGACAAUGAAAGUGGGUGAAAAUGUAUCCAAAUCAAAGCAUAGAAAUAAGUGUAAAAUUUUAUUCCUCUGGGUGUCAUUUAAGGAAUGCCCAAAAAACUUCCAUCUUUACCACCUCCCCAGAUACUCCCCACUGAUGGCGUAGGUCUUUGCUAUUUGGUCACGCAGCUCAGUUUUCUGUGACUAUGCCAAGGUUGUCUCUUUGGGGACACAGGACCUCAGGUAUCAUUCACAGCAGAGGCUCUCAAAGUCUGGUUCCUGGAUGAUCAGCAACAGCAUGGCCAGGGCCUCAGUAGAAAUGCAAAGUCAGGGACCCCAAGGAUCCUGAUCCAAACGUGCUAAAUCAGAACUCAGAGUUAGGGAAGGCGUGGGAUGGACAGGGAGUUUGGGGUUGGUAGAUGUAAACUAUUACAAUU